CAGCAGCCGCGGGAAUACGUAGGGUGCAAGCGUUAUCCGGAAUUAUUGGGCGUAAAGAGCUCGUAGGCGGUUUGUCGCGUCUGCUGUGAAAACUGGAGGCUCAACCUCCAGCCUGCAGUGGGUACGGGCAGACUAGAGUGCGGUAGGGGAGAUUGGAAUUCCUGGUGUAGCGGUGGAAUGCGCAGAUAUCAGGAGGAACACCGAUGGCGAAGGCAGAUCUCUGGGCCGUAACUGACGCUGAGGAGCGAAAGCGUGGGGAGCGAACAGGAUUAGAUACCCCGGUAGUCCCUGUCUCUUAUAC
rnacentral:rRNA from 1 species